ACUCCUACGGGAGGCAGCAGUGGGGAAUCUUGCGCAAUGGCCGAGAGGCUGACGCAGCGACGCCGCGUGGGGGAUGAAGCAUUUCGGUGUGUAAACCCCUGUUGCUCGGGACGAACGAUCCUCUUCGAGGGAUGUGACGGUACCGAGUGAGGAAGCACCGGCUAACUCCGUGCCAGCAGCCGCGGUAAUACGGAGGGUGCGAGCGUUGUCCGGAAUCACUGGGCGUAAAGGGCGCGUAGGUGGUUGGAUGCGCCGGUGGUGAAAGCGCAGGGCUCAACCCUGCGUCGGCCAUCGGGACGGUCCGACUGGAGCACUGUAAAGGCAGGUGGAAUUCCGGGUGUAGCGGUGGAAUGCGUAGAGAUCCGGAAGAACACCGGUGGCGAAGGCGGCCUGCUGGGCAGUUGCUGACACUGAGGCGCGACAGCGUGGGGAGCAAACAGGAUUAGAUACCCUGGUAGUCCACGCCGUAAACGAUGGGCACUAGGUGCUUGGGGGAGCGACCCCCUGAGUGCCGACGCUAACGCAUUAAGUGCCCCGCCUGGGGAGUACGACCGCAAGGUUGAAACUCAAAGGAAUUGACGGGGGCCCGCACAAGCGGUGGA
rnacentral:rRNA from 1 species